rnacentral:rRNA from 1 species
UUGACCUCGGAUCAGGUAGGGAUACCCGCUGAACUUAAGCAUAUCAAUAAGCCGGAAGGAA